AAUAGAUACCAGGUAGUCCACGCCGUAAACGAUGAAUACUAGGUGUAGGGGUUGUCAUGACCUCUGUGCCGCCGCUAACGCAUUAAGUAUUCCGCCUGGGGAGUACGGUCGCAAGAUUAAAACUCAAAGGAAUUGACGGGGGCCCGCACAAGCAGCGGAGCAUGUGGUUUAAUUCGAAGCAACGCGAAGAACCUUACCUAGACUUGACAUCUCCUGAAUUACCCUUAAUCGGGGAAGUUCCUUCGGGAACAGGAAGACAGGUGGUGCAUGGUUGUCGUCAGCUCGUGUCGUGAGAUGUUGGGUUAAGUCCCGCAACGAGCGCAACCCUUAUUGUUAGUUGCUACCAUUUAGUUGAGCACUCUAGCGAGACUGCCCGGGUUAACCGGGAGGAAGGUGGGGAUGGCGUCAAAGUCAUCAUGCCCCUUAUGUCUAGGGCUACACACGUGCUACAAUGGCCGGUACAAAGAGAUGCAAUACCGCAAGGUGGAGCUAAACUAUAAAACCGGUCUCAGUUCGAUUGCAGCUGAAACUGCCUGCA
rnacentral:rRNA from 1 species